ensembl:lncRNA
CGGAUGACAGGUGCAGGAGGGAAGGGUUUCCGGCUUUGGUUUGCUGUGUAUCCUAACGUGUGAAGCAGUAGGCACUCAACCAAGAGCCGUUGAGUGAAAGAGUAGACCAGUUGUGCAGCAAAGUCCCUGUGGCCUGGAGGAAACUGCAAGGCUGGUUCUCUGCAGCACUGCCUUUAGAAGCUCGAAGCAGCUUCUGAAGCGGAGGUCCAGGAGCCAGCUCUGUGAAGUUUGGAAAGUCACUUGACUGCUCUGAACCUCAGUUUUCACAUCUGAAAAUGGGAAUAAUUGCACUUUAUCUACACCCCUGGGAUGAGGACCAUCUGGAAUGGAUGGAUGAAGUCCAUUUCCUCAUCUGAGCAACAAGAUUACAGACCCACUGGGAGCAGAGAUGUGACCAUGCUUGCGUGCUCCCCUCCCACCGUGAUACAGCCCUGGGCACCUGGACAGCAGUCUGGUGGACCCAGCCUAGCGUGCAGAUGAUGGCCAGGUCUGAGCAAUGGCUGGGUCCCUUACCAGCUGAGUGACCUUGUGGAGUCCCCUGACAGCUCCAAGCCUCAGUUUCCACAUCUAGAAAUUGGUGAUAUGAAAACACCUGUUUUACAGAACUGUGAAAGUCUCUUCUUGGUUAAGCCCAGACUGUCGUCCUCCAAUUGCGUCCUCCAAUUUAAUUACCACAGAAGUAAAAAAACAGGCAUUCACCUCCUCCUUUCUGUGACAAUGAGCUCUCCAGGCUUCCCUCUGUCUCCUAGUUAUUUUUAUUUUCUUGGCCAGCUCCUCUUACUUUUCCCCUAAAUAGUAAACAAUGUGCAUUUGCAUGGUCAAUGGCACAGGUGUGGGUCCUACAUUGCCCAUAUUGGGGCUGCAGUUAUACCACUUGCGAGAGUGUAACCUUAGGUGUUAUUUUACUUCUCAGGGACCCAGUUCCUCCGUUUAGGGAUCACUCCUCACAAAGUCUUUCUGGAUGUCUAACCCCUCCUCCCAGGAUGGUCUAGAUGCUCACCCACAGCACCCUGGGAAUAUCUCUAUCCUAGAAAUUUGUCCUUUUUCUUGUCUGUGUCCUCUACUAGGUCAUAACAUUAAAGACAAGGUUCUCAUGUUCAAAUGCCUAAAAUGUUCAAAUGAGAAAUAGCAGUAUUGAGUGAGUUAAUUUGUGUAAAGCACCUAGAACAGGACUUGGUGGGGAGUUUUAUAAAAUUGUUAACUAUUAUUUCUAUUUUAAUGAUCCAAAGUGAAAUACAUUAUCCUUCAGCAUCAAGUCCAGUCAAUUCUUUCUCUGUAAAACUUCUCAAAUUCAUUCUUUUGCUCCUCUCCAUCCCUCUUCCUAAUUGCUUUUUCUAAUUAAUUAAUUUUUUAAAUUGAAGGACAAUAGCUUUACAGAAUUUUGUUGUUUUCUUAA